rnacentral:rRNA from 1 species
AGCAGCCGCGGUAAUUCCAGCUCCAAUAGCGUAUAUUAAAGUUGUUGCAGUUAAAAAGCUCGUAGUUGAAUUUCGAGAUCAAAUUGUUGGUCGUGCCUCGGUACGUACUGGCAUUAUUGAUUUCUCCCUUCUGAAGAACCUUGAUGUCAUUAAUUUGGUGUCUUGGGGAAUCAGGACCGUUACUUUGAAAAAAUUAGAGUGUUUAAAGCAGGCUCACGCUUGAAUACAUUAGCAUGGAAUAAUGAAAUAGGACGUUUGAUUCUAUUUUGUUGGUUUCUAGGAUCGACGUAAUGAUUAAUGGGGAUAGUUGGGGGCAUUAGUAUUCAAUUGUCAGAGGUGAAAUUCUUGGAUUUAUUGAAGACUAACUACUGCGAAAGCAUUUGCCAAGGAUGUUUUCAUUAAUCAAGAACGAAAGUUAGGGGAUCGAAGACGAUCAGAUACCGUCGUAGUCUUAACCAUAAACUAUGCCGACUAGGGAUCGGAUGAUGUUAAUUUUUAAUGUACUCAUUCGGCGCCUUAA